rnacentral:misc_RNA from 1 species
AACGCAUAUUGCACCCUCAGGUCUUUUCCAGAGGGUAUGCCUGUUUGAGUGUCAUUAAAUUCUCAACUUCAUUCAGCUUUUGUUAGUUGAAUGUGGCUUGGAUUGUGGGGGGUUGUGCGGGCUUCUUUCAAGUCGGCUCCCUUUAAAUGCAUUAGCGGAAAACCCUUGUGGACCGUCUUUGGUGUGAUAAUUAUCUACGCCAUAGCCGUGAAGCAGUUUAUAAAAUGGGACUUCAGCUUCUAACCGUCCUUUAAGAGGACAGCACUUAAUUGACAUUUUGACCUCAAAUCAGGUAGGACUACCCGCUGAACUUAAG